UCCUUCCCCUGCUUCACCGUCGUUGCUCUGCUCACCUUCAUUGAGGUCGUGGUGAGUGCGUGUUCCUCCUCUUCGACUGUGGCUCGCCGCCGCUGCCGGGGAGAGCUCAGAGGCUCCGUCUGCCACCUCAUGGGUUUGAGUUUGUUGUGCUGUGGGAGUUAAUUCUUGGCUGUGAGAGGUUCGUUUUGUUGGCCGUCGCUCUUUUCGCCUGCACUUGCCGUCGUUCCUUUCUCCCUGUGUCUGCCAAUGUGAACGAAGUAGGAGUUGAAAUACAAGCAGGUAAUGACACCUAGAAAGAAAACUACAAAUGCUCCUGAAAAGGUCCAUAAGAAGGCAUCUUGGAAGCCCACUUCCUCUGAAUGAUGUGGUUGUAUGUU